rnacentral:rRNA from 1 species
AGCAGCCGCGGUAAUUCCAGCUCCAAUAGCGUAUAUUAAAGUUGUUGCAGUUAAAAAGCUAGUAGUUGAAUUUCGGGAUUGGCGCAUCGGUCGUGCCUCACGGGGUAUGAACUGGGGCAGUCAAUUUCUCACCUUCUGGAGAACCGCGAUGUCCUUAAUUGGAUGCCGCGGGGAACCAGGACCUUUACUUUGAAAAAAUUAGAGUGUUUAAAGCAGGCAUUUUUGCUUGAAUACAUUAGCAUGGAAUAAUAAAAUAGGACGGCAUGGUUCUAUUUUGUUGGUUUCUAGGACCACCGUAAUGAUUAAUAGGGAUAGUUGGGGGCAUUAGUAUUCAAUUGUCAGAGGUGAAAUUCUUGGAUUUAUUGAAGACUAACUACUGCGAAAGCAUUUGCCAAGGAUGUUUUCAUUAAUCAAGAACGAAAGUUAGGGGAUCGAAGACGAUCAGAUACCGUCGUAGUCUUAACCAUAAACUAUGCCGACUAGGAAUCAGACGAUGUUAAUUUUUUAAUGACUCGUUUGGCCCCUUACG